rnacentral:rRNA from 1 species
GCACAAGCAGUGGAGUAUGUGGUUUAAUUCGAAGCAACGCGAAGAACCUUACCAGGUCUUGACAUCCGAUGCAUAGUGCAGAGAUGCAUGAAGUCCUUCGGGACAUCGAGACAGGUGGUGCAUGGUUGUCGUCAGCUUGUGUCGUGAGAUGUUGGGUUAAGUCCCGCAACGAGCGCAACCCUUAUUGCCAGUUACUACGCAAGAGGACUCUGGCGAGACUGCCGUUGACAAAA